GGUGGGCACGGCGUCGUGUGCCUGUAGUCCCAGCUAUUCGGGAGGCUGAGGCUGGAGGAUCUCUUGAGCCCAGGACUUCUGGGCUGUAGUGCGCUAUGCCGAUCGGGGGCGAUCUCCAUAUGGUGACCUCCCGGGAGCGGGGGACCACCAGGUUGCCUAAGGAGGGGUGAACUGGCCCAGGUCGGAAAUGGAACAGGUCAAAACUCCCGUGCUGAUCAGUAGGUGGGAUGGCGCCUGUGAAUAGCCACUGCACUCCAGCCUGGGCAACAUAGAGAGACCCUGUCUCU
rnacentral:SRP_RNA from 1 species